AUGUCAUGGUGUAGGUAUUUUUCUUAACAUUGCUUUUAAUCUUUCCCAAGCUUGAUAAACUGACUCAGUGUCAGUCUGCAAGAAAUUAGAUAUAUCUUGUCUUAACUU
rnacentral:snoRNA from 1 species